AAAGAGAUCAUUAGAGACUAUUUGAGUCUUAAUCCCUAGCAAUGGGAAUCGUUUAAGGGCCUUGCAUGAAAGGGUGGAGAGUGGAGUGCAGCCAAGGAUGACUUGCCGGCCUAAUCCAAGAGAUGGGUUUUGCACUGGUGGUGGUGUUGAACCCUAAUUUCAGGAUAGUUGGCAAGUUGUCCUUGGCUAUAUUUGGCUCUCUUCGUCUCAUGUAAGACCUAAAGGACGAUGGAAAGGGAAAAGCUAAGGAGUCACAGUUACUGUUAGAAGAGGGAGCGCAGCCAUCAAUCGACCUUGCAUGAAGAGGCAGGGAGUUUUAAGGCAGCCAAGGAUGUCUUGCCGGCGAGCAACCGUAAACUGGCGUGCCUGGAAUGAAAGUAGUGAUCGGCAAGUUGUCCUUGGCUACAUUGGACUCUCUUCUUCUCAUGUAAGACCCAGAUGAUGAGACAUCAAUACCGCAGCCAAGAUAAUAAGUUUUCUCAUUCCCUUAGUGUUUGCACCAUUUGAUUGUUUCUUUUGGAGAUAACCCAUAUUUUUAAUCUGUCUGAAGGCACUGCAUGAAUAGAGUUUCAUGAAGAUCAGAGUGAAUAAUGAUCAACAUACGUGGAAGGAUUAGUGAAGGAGAAGAAAGACAAUGGUUUGAGUUAUGAAAAGUGAAAAGGACAUGCACUGCAAGAUUCUACAGAAAACAUAAAAUUUAUGCUGCCAUUGAGUGUGAAAUAGUUGGUGUCUGCUACCAUCUCAGAGUCUUUUAGGACAUCAAUGAUUCAAAAUGUCGAAGGAGACUAAGAAAGCUUAGCCAUGUGAUUGACAAGACAAGAAUAACUUUCGACAAGGAUAAUGAGAGCAUUUUUAGCAACAUUCAUGGGCAAAAGGGCUUCUUCAUAGUGGGGGCAAUUGAGCUCUCUUUGUUUAGCUUUGUAUUAAUAUUGAUCGGAUUGAGCCUUUUUGCAAGGUUUCAUGUUAACUCAUAUAAAGCCAAAUGUGUGUUUAUUUACUUUAUAUGGGAUUACUGUAUCCCAUGGCUCAAUCAAACUCACCCC